rnacentral:rRNA from 1 species
GAUGAACGCUAGCUACAGGCUUAACACAUGCAAGUCGCAGGGUAACAUGAGGAUAGCUUGCUUUCCUUGAUGACGAAUGGCGCACGGGUGAGUAACGCGUAUCCAACCUUCCCAUAACUACGGGAUAACCCGUUGAAAGACGGCCUAAUACCGUAUGAUAGCGUUUGCUGACAUCAAAGAACGAUUAAGGGUUUGGCGGUGGUGGAUGGGCUUGCGUCUGAUCAGCUUGGUGGUGGGGUAACGGCUUACCAAGGCUUCGACGGGGAGGGGGCCGGAGAGGGUGACCGGCCACAUUGGGACUGAGCUACGGCCCAGACUCCUACGGGAGGCAGCAGUGGGGAAUAUUGCACAAUGGGCGGAAGCCUGAUGCAGCAACGCCGCGUGCGGGAUGACGGCCUUCGGGUUGUAAACCGCUUUCGCCUGUGACGAAGCGUGAGUGACGGUAAUGGGUAAAGAAGCACCGGCUAACUACGUG